AGUGGACGCUGGCGGUAGGCCUAACACAUGCAAGUCGAACGGCAGCACAGUAAGAGCUUGCUCUUACGGGUGGCGAGUGGCGGACGGGUGAGGAAUACAUCGGAAUCUACUUUUUCGUGGGGGUUAACGUAGGGAAACUUACGCUAAUACCGCAUACGACCUACGGUUGAAAGCAGGGGAUCUUCGGACCUUGCGCGAUUGAAUGAGCCGAUGUCGGAUUAGCUAGUUGGCGGGGUAAAGGCCCACCAAGGCGACGAUCCGUAGCUGGUCUGAGAGGAUGAUCAGCCACACUGGAACUGAGACACGGUCCAGACUCCUACGGGAGGCAGCAGUGGGGAAUAUUGGACAAUGGGCGCAAGCCUGAUCCAGCCAUACCGCGUGGGUGAAGAAGGCCUUCGGGUUGUAAAGCCCUUUUGUUGGGAAAGAAAAGCAGCAGGUUAAUACCCCGCUGUUCUGACGGUACCCAAAGAAUAAGCACCGGCUAACUUCGUG
rnacentral:rRNA from 1 species